AGAAUAUGAGAAGUUAAACCAGGGACCAUGCCAGAAGGUUCUCUCACUGAUCCCCCAAGUACAGUCUACAGAAAACUACCUUGACUCCACUCCUCCAGAACCCCUUCACCCUGUGGCACUGGCUGGGCACCUUGUUUGUCUUCAUUGGGACCUUAAUGUACACAGAGGUGUGGAACAACCUAGGGACCACAAAAAGUGAGCCUCAGAAGGACAGCAAGAAGAACUGAGGCCUGUCUGGAGUACGUAGACCAGUGUCGUCGUGAGGGUGGGACCCUGUGAAGGUCUGACCACCGUUUCGCUUUUGUUAAUGCCGAGCUACCCGCAGUGCUGAGCCAGCCGUGCAAAAGGAAAUCUUCAGGAGGGGACUUCUCACGUUGCUCAGACUGACACAUGUAGACUAAAUAGAAACCCCUCAGCCCUAAAAUAGAAAAAAGAACAGUUCUGGACUAUUGAA
rnacentral:lncRNA from 1 species